AUUGAUUCUUCCUGUGGCCAUGGAUACACAUAUGGAAAAAGAGGAAGUAUUCUAGAGAAUAUAAAAAGACUUCUUGAGUACUAAGAGGUCGUGAAGACAGCUUUGGAAAUGUUAUAAGCGUCAAGAUUCGCUCAAGAUACACCUGCUUCUCUUGCAAAAGGCUACAAUUCUGCCGAAUUUCACUUUAAAGGACAUCUAUCCACUCCUGAAGCUGAGGACUCAAGUCAGUCCCAAUCAAAUGCCACCGUGGUGGGAAAAAUGGAAGAGAAGCUGUUUCUGUUACUAGAAGAAGGACAAAUAGAUGUUGGUCAGACAAAACAAAAGUCUAGUAUACCUGGAUAUGUUUUUGUCAAGUGACAGAGAAAUACAGUAAUCUUUCAUCAACAUCUCAUUUUUUGACAUGAAAUUCUACUUUACCCCAGUUUACUUUAGUUUAACCUUUCUAUGCCCUGGCAGAUUUAGGACUUGACAUAAACCUGUAUUUCCAGUCACUUAUCUUGGUGAUAAUUGGAGAGAUAAUUAAACACCAGCAUAGAAAAAUGGGGAUAAAGUGUGCUGUAGAGCAGGAACUGAACUAUUUAGGAAAAACUUAUGAAACAUAAGAAAUGCUAAACUCUACCUUAGAGAUCUUCCAACGUCAUUAA
rnacentral:lncRNA from 1 species